UACGGGGGGGGCAAGCGUUGUUCGGAAUUACUGGGCGUAAAGGGCGCGUAGGCGGUUGGAUAAGUCAGCUGUGAAAACCACGAGCUUAACUCGUGGCCUGCAGUUGAGACUGUCUGGCUUGAGUGUGGGAGAGGAGAGUGGAAUUCCGUGGUGUAGCGGUGAAAUGCGUAGAUAUCAGGAGGAACACCGGUGGCCGAAGGCGGCUCUCUGGACCACAACUGACGCUGAGGCGCGAAAGCUAGGGGAGCAAACAGG
rnacentral:rRNA from 1 species